rnacentral:rRNA from 1 species
UGGGGAAUAUUGCACAAUGGGCGCAAGCCUGAUGCAGCCAUGCCGCGUGUGUGAAGAAGGCCUUCGGGUUGUAAAGCACUUUCAGCGGGGAGGAAGGCGUUAAGGUUAAUAACCUUGGCGAUUGACGUUACCCGCAGAAGCAGCACCGGCUAACUCCGUGCCAGCAGCCGCGGUAAUACGGAGGGUGCAAGCGUUAAUCGGAAUUACUGGGCGUAAAGCGCACGCAGGCGGUCUGUCAAGUCGGAUGUGAAAUCCCCGGGCUCAACCUGGGAACUGCAUUCGAAACUGGCAGGCUAGAGUCUUGUAGAGGGAGGUAGAAUUCCAGGUGUAGCGGUGAAAUGCGUAGAGAGCUGGAGGAAUACCGGUGGCGAAGGCGGCCCCCUGGACAAAGACUGACGCUCAGGUGCGAAAGCGUGGGGAGCAAACAGG